UCACUAAGGUAUGUCACACCGUGUUAUCACACUGUUCUACUAACAAAUUAAUCUCUUAUUAUGUUGUGUACUCGAUAACUUAAAGGUUUGGUGUUUUUAUUGCUCCUUAGAUCGGUGUUGGACCGGCGAACAAUUUAGGCCUAUCAGAGGACUUGCUAACAUGAAGAAAACGGUCCAGAGGUUCCACCUGAGAGCCGGGACUGUCAAACAGUAAGAGACAACGAAAAGGGGGGAACUGUCUUUAAGCUGUGGAGUCAGAUGGAGGGCUCGCAUUUACCUCAAAAACGGCAUUGCAGAAGAAUCGAACAACUAGAACCAACUCAAGCACACAAUGGUGACACACAUUUGUAAGACCUUUCCCUGUGAUAUAUAAUUUCCCUGUGGUAAUUAUUCAGAUUCUUCUCAUUCUCAUUGUGUAGCACUGUUUUAAGCUUGUUGAAUAUUAUGUACAGUAAGCACUAGA